UAUAUUCCAUCGGAUGAUAUUUCAAGUUCAUAUUCAUCAUACAUCAUAUUACCCCUGAGAGGGUGAGAAGCCUGAUUUCACAUUUGUUUGUGAGUGUACUCAUUACCACAUUUAUCACACACUCCAUUUAAUACUGUAUUACACUAUGUCAGCCUUUUGAUUCUUUAUACAGAUUAUAUCCACGGAUAUUUACCUGAUUUCAGGUUGUUUAACUUGUUUUAUAUAUAUUUUUACGUAUUCUGGGUGUUUUCCACUUUAUGUUUUGGUUGUAUAUUGUUUAGGUGUUUGUGAGGUACACCUGGGAUCACUUCCAGUUAUACGUUUUCCA